UGGCAGCGUUGUCCGGAUUUACUGGGCGUAAAGGGUGCGUAGGCGAUGUUUAAGUGAGAUGUGAAAUACCCGGGCUUAACUUGGGUGCUGCAUUUCAAACUGGAUAUCUAGAGUGCAGGAGAGGAGAAUGGAAUUCCUAGUGUAGCGGUGAAAUGCGUAGAGAUUAGGAAGAACCCAGUGGCGAAGGCGAUUCUCUGGACUGUAACUGACGCUGAGGCACGAAAGCGUGGGUAGCAAACAGGAUUAGAUACCCUGGUAGUCCACGCCGUAAACGAUGAGUACUAGGUGUAGGAGGUAUCGACCCCUUCUGUGCCGCAGUAAACACAUUAAGUACUCCGCCUGGGAAGUACGAUCGCAAGAUUAAAACUCAAAGGAAUUGACGGGGGCCCGCACAAGCAGCGGAGCAUGUGGUUUAAUUCGAAGCAACGCGAAGAACCUUACCUGGACUUGACAUCCCCUGAAUAACCUAGAGAUAGGCGAAGCCCUUCGGGGCAGGGAGACAGGUGGUGCAUGGUUGUCGUCAGCUCGUGUCGUGAGAUGUUAGGUUAAGUCCUGCAACGAGCGCAACCCUUAUUGUUAGUUGCUAACAUUCAGUUGAGCACUCUAACGAGACUGCCGCGGUUAACGCGGAGGAAGGUGGGGAUGACGUCAAAUCAUCAUGCCCCUUAUGUCCAGGGCAACACACGUGCUACAAUGGGCAGAACAAAGAGAAGCAAUACCGCGAGGUGGAGCCAAACUCAAAAACUGCUCUCAGUUCGGAUUGCAGGCUGAAACUCGCCUGCAUGAAGCUGGAGUUGCUAGUAAUCGCGAAUCAGCAUGUCGCGGUGAAUACGUUCCCGGGCCUUGUACACACCGCCCGUCACACCAUGAGAGCUGGCAACACCCGAAGUCCGUAGUCUAACGUAAGAGGACGCGGCCGAAGGUGGGGUUAGUGAUUUGGGUGAAGUCGUAACAAGGUAGCCGUAGGGGGGACCACUAUCUAGA
rnacentral:rRNA from 1 species